GGCACCCCUCUUGCAUUUAUGGCAGUCCUUCUCCGUCCUGCAAGGGCGGUGAACUGAAUUCAGAAAAAUGACAGGUCGUUACAAAUAUAUUGCAUGCUGUAAAAUAAAAGAAUGUCCUUGUUAGAAAGCCAAAUGACUUACUUUGGGAAUAACUUUAAAUGAUAGGCAUAAGACAGUGCAAAUGCAGCAUGCACGUGUUACACUUUGCUAUAGUCCGUUAAAUAUACAUGUGGGGCUCCCGUAUCGAUACAUGCGGAUGCUGGCAUUAAUCCUUUAACUGGAAUGCUCUCUGACAGUAACUCUCCAUUACUCAGCUCUUUAUUGAUUUGGGCUCAUCUCUAAAAGUUCAGACUUGGAGAAUACUCAGGCCAGGUCUCAAUGAGGAGAAGAGCAUGGACUGUUGGUAAUUAUCCAAUGAAUUCCAGUAAUUACCCAAUGAAUUACAAAUUGUCUAUACCAAUGUUUCCUGGAAUUCAAGGAACACAGAAAUGUGAAUUCAGCAAUGUACCUGUGAACUUUCCAGGAUACUUUUGGGGGAGCGAGUGGGGAAGGGGGGUGUCCAGGGGGAGGGCCUUGUCCGGUUACCACUGCUCUAGUGCUUAAUCAUCUGCAUCUCCUCACCCCAAUACAAUUCUUAUAAACACAUGUCAUUCACAUGACUUUUGGUUUUAAUCUGCCACCAUCCCCUCUGCCUCUAAGGAAGAAAAGAAAGAAAGGAAAACUAAAGAACCCCUCACUGGCUACAUGUGUUACCUUGGGUUAAGUCACUAUUUGUACGACAUAAAGUUCUAAGAUCACUGCUCUGAAAGCAGGACUCUGACACAGAUCAUGGACCUCUUCGGGAGUUAGGAAAUAAUAGGCUCUCCCCUCAAAGGUCACCAUAGCUGAUAGAUAAAAUUCUCCCAAAGAUAUAUUUGAUUGUGGGUGUUCCCACACUCUUGCAAACCGAUUAUUUAUGAAUCCACCAUUUGGCAGAGUUGGGUCCAGCAUGAGCUACCUAUCUUUUGUUGGGGAAAGAGUUUUUCAGCAACAAACUUAUCAAAGUGAAUGAGGGCUGGAAGCUGUGUAGUUUUGAUGAUGAAUAAGUCUGGGAUCAAGGGAAAAGCCUCCAGAUGUUUCUGAAAAUACAGCCUCUCUUCCACUUUCCAUGGCCCUUUCCUUUGUACUCUUCCAUAACAAAUAUUCAUGGUAUCUUCUUCCAAAUCAGGUGAUGACAAUACAAAUUAAACUCCUGAGCGUGCAUUUUUCCUCUGGGCCAUGAUGACUAAGUGGGAUGAAUCUGCACUUCUCCUUGGGGCAACUGCAGGGCAAGAGGAAGACUGUUGAAGCUCUCACUCCUCAGUGAGCUCGGGUUUCCCCUGGUGCAGAUCAGUAGGUCCAGGAGCAUCUCCUUCCUCCAGUUGAGCUGGGAAUGCAAACCAGAGACGUCUCCAACAGUGACUGAUGCGGAGGUGAUGACCCGCUGGCCAGGCAAAGCCUUCCCUCUCUGUUCUCCUCCCGCUCCGUGUGCCAGUAAUUGCCUGAUGUCCGUGACAAAUGGCGGGUAAAUCCCAGCCUGAGAGCUCAGAAUGGACUUCAGAGGGUUCUCUUCCUGGCAAGCUCUUGUGGAAAGAGGUGAAGGACUGCUGGCCCUGAGGCGGUCUCUGCUCAAGCCCACCUGGUGGAGGUCAGGAAUGGGGCCCGGGGUGAGUUCACCUUCAGCAGCCCCCAUCUGCAGACAGACAAAGGCAACCAUGGUUUCGAGCCUGGUCAGUUUCUUAAUCCUCUAUAAGCACACACGUCCCUCACUGCAAAUUCUUACCCCAAACUGGAACUCAGCAGAAGAAAUCAAUUAAUGCGGCAGAUGUUUCUCCUCUUGCAUGUUUUCUCUUAAGCAAAGUACAUUGCACAAGUAGCAAGACUAGUAAUAAUAUUAAGUCCAUGCUAACCCAACUCAAUUCCAAGUGUGAGAUCUGGAAAGGUAAGUUGGGGAGAAUUUUUAUGAUAAAGGCACAGUUCUUGGAAGACAUAACAGCACUAUGUCAUGUGCUACCUUUAACUUGGAGGACAUGAACUUGGGAGUCAGACCAACCUAUGGUCAAAUCCCAGUCCUUCUAUUAUGUAAUAAUAUGACCCACAAUAGUGGGUCAUGGUUGGGCCAUUUCCUAAAUCAUGGGAUGAUAAGAUUUGAUGAGAGAAUUAAAUCAGCGAGCAUUUAUCCAGACCUUUGCCCUUGGCCCAUAGGAGGCGUCUAAUAAAUGGUGGCUUUUGUCUCCCUUUCUUCAACCCCUAAACAAGCACAACCUAGCUUGUGCAUUAACUCCUGUUUCAAACUCCAUGUCUUGAGACGUUGAAGCAAAUUCAUACCUUCGAUAAACAGCUUUAUAAUGGGCUGCUCUUGUGCCGAAUAUACCAAACUCAGACAGACAGGCAAGGAUCUAGGAAAUCUAAGAGAAGCAAACUCUGCUCACUUCCACGACCCUCGGACACAUCACAAUGUCACACAUGUCACACGCUCACCUGACAGGAAAUCUCCCAUCCUUUUCCACCAGAGGGAAAGCAGUGCCUGGGUCAGCUCCAAAACUAGUCAUAAAGGGACCCUGGGUGUGUAGGGGGCUGGGGAAGGAAGCUAGAAAGAGAGGUUAGAGGGCAUCAGCUUGUUCUUGACCUCUGGCUACAUCUCCGGGUCAACUGUCACAGGCCCAGGGUGCCUUUGGCCAUCAGGGAAUGAGAACUUGAGUGGUGUGCGGGGCGCCCGGUCCCACAGGGCAGGUGGCCCAGACAAUGACGAGGAGAGAGUGAGUCGCCUUGCCCUCCUGUCCUUCCUUGACAGCUCCUAUAACAUUAUAGAUCCCUCAAGACCAAAUCACUUCCUUCUUAAGCUGUCCUUACAUUUGGAACUCCCAUAAAGACAGCAAUAAAAAGAGAGGUACCCUCAGAUAGCCAUCUGCAGGUGUUCCAAGACGCAGCAAGUCAUGUGAAUCCCCCCUUAGGCCAGUGGAUUCACUCCAUCUGUGCUUGCAAUUCAGUGGAGACCAGUAUUUUCUGAUGUGCAGCUUGCUUGAAAUGUCUGUUUCUUUUUUACACACCAAAGAAGAAAAAUCCACAUUUCCAUCCAUAUUAUUAGAACCAAAAAUAGCCCAUAUCAUUUCCCCCAAACAAUUACAUUCUGUGCCUCAACUUUAAAGGUUGUUGUGUUCCCUCCUACUUUCUCCUUUUAUUACACAAGAUUUCCAGUUAUUCCGUAUUUUGUUCUCAUUAGAACACUGCUUGUCACAUGUUUUCACCAGAGACAUUCAUCACCGAGGUCAAAGGGUGAAUAUCAUGAUCUAUUAUGCUUAGAGGAAUCUAAUGAAAAGCCACAUAAUUAUCCAAUUUAAAGAAAAGCAUGUUAAAAAAAAAAAAAGAAGGGGAGCACUUGCCAUAAUUUAAAUUGUUUUGUUUCCCUGAAGCAAAAUUCAGCCCCUGAUUGACAGGACCUAAUGAUAAUUCUUAUUGAUAUGGUGAUGUUAAUUGUGGAGAGAUAUUUAAUAAGUCCCACAUUCUGGAGGUAAAUGUGUGCUCUUAACCUGCACCUGAACCUGAUUUUUGAUGCAGCGUGCGGAUGAGGUACAGAUACAGAUAAGUGAGCACAAGUGGAUUUUCAGUCUUCUGUGGCGGCAUGGAAAUUGGAAUCCUCAGAAUCUAUUAGGAGAACAAUUCCACAGUUGCUCACACUUUUAUAAAUUAUAUUGUCUAUUAGCGAAAGACACAAAGUCAGGGGAGGUUCAAGAGAGGAUACUUCGAGACUUCGCAGAGAAGUUUUUAGGGUGAUAUUUGGUGGUGGCGCUGUGUUGUUGCUUUUAAUCAAAGACAUACACCAAAGAGUGUGAUCUGUAUUCACUCCAUUUUCUGUGUUAACUCUUUCCCACCCCGAGGGGAGGCCUUGCUGAAAAUGAGGGCAACUUUUAAACCUAAGCAGAUUAUUGAAAGAAAAGGAAUUCUCGCACCGCGAGGGAAACCAUUUGAGAAGGUGUUCAUGGGCCUAAAUGCCCAAAGGAAGUGACCUGUGGGGGCUGAAAGUUCAACAAGGUCUGCGUCCCCUUGUGAGAUUGCUGCUGGGCUGAGAGACCUUGGGAAAGUUACUCAACCUCUCUGAGAGGUUCUUUCCUCCCAUGUAAAGUGAUGGCGACAGUAGUGCCCUUCUCCUAGAGUUGUUGAAUGAAAUUAUUCACAUAAACCACUUCUCAGCACUGCUGGCCUACAGUAAGUGCCCCAAACACAGUAGCUAUUAUUCUUGUUUAUUACAAUUAGCACCAAGAGCAGAGAAAACCCAAAGUCAGCAAAGAGCUAAUCCUCCUAAUAGGGAUUCCAGGCCCUAAAGAAACAGGUGCUGAGCUGUGGACAGAGAUGGGAUCAGCACUAACUUUCUGAAACUUUCCAAAAUCAUUACCAGGACCAGAGCGGAUGGGUCAUCACUAGGUCAGGUUAUGUAUGAUUUGACUCUUUAAGCAGAAACCUUCUCUCAAUCAGAAGCUAUGUGUUUCUUGUGUUUUUAUCAUGGUCUAACAAAGUUUUCAGUAUUGGAACUUCAAAACUGCAUCUUCUAUCUUCUAACUGCAGCCUUAUCAUUUGGAAAGUAAUCCUCAUAUAGCAAAUAAUACAAAGUAAAAAAAAAAAAAUGAAGUCUAUUCUCAGGACAAAUAGAAUUGAAAAAAAUAAUCAGAGUGGCUUAAUCUGAGGGAAAGCAAGUUCCGAAAUUGAAUUCAAAUUAUUUUUUUUAAAAAAACUGCAAGUUAACUGAGUCUUCCAUUUUUCACUUAUGGAAAAAAAUAUUACAUGGUUAGCAGUGUGUGUGUGUGUGUGUGUGUCUUUUUAGGGCUGCACCUGCAGCAUACGGAGGUUCACAGGCCAGGGGUCCAAUCGGAGCUGUAGCCUCUGGCCUACCCACAGCCACAGCAACGCCAAAUCCCCAACCCACUGAGCAGGGACAGAUAUUGAAACCACAACCUCAUGGUUCCUAGUUGGAUACGUUUCUGCUGCGCCAUGAUGGGGACUCCCAUGGUUAGCAUUUUAAUAUGAGGUCCUGGUCAAUAUAAUUAUUUGUGCCAAAGUAUAUGUAACUUCAAAAUAAUCAAGCCAAAGAUUGUUAUAUAUAACUGAGUCAUAACUGGGUCACUGUCACCAGAAACUAAGAGCUAUCAAUCUACAAAUAGGAACAUGAGAGUCAAAAUGUGAUCACUGAAAGGUAUCACAGAAAACAAGAGGAGUUUUUAAUGGACAAAAUAGUUUAAAUGUUCAAAGCAUUCCAGGAUCAGAUUCUUUUGAACACAGCAUUUGGGGUCUGAGACAUAAUGGAUAAUCUAAAAA
rnacentral:lncRNA from 1 species